UACGUAGGGGGCAAGCGUUGUCCGGAAUUAUUGGGCGUAAAGAGCUCGUAGGCGGCUUAGCAAGUCGGGUGUGAAAACUUCAGGCUCAACCUGGAGGUGCCAUCCGAGACUGCUAUGGCUAGAGUCCGGUAGGGGAUCACGGAAUUCCUGGUGUAGCGGUGAAAUGCGCAGAUAUCAGGAGGAACACCGGUGGCGAAGGCGGUGAUCUGGGCCGGCACUGACGCUGAGGAGCGAAAGCGUGGGUAGCAAACAGG
rnacentral:rRNA from 1 species